rnacentral:misc_RNA from 1 species
GAAAUGCGAUAAGUAGUGUGAAUUGCAGAAUUCAGUGAAUCAUCGAAUCUUUGAACGCACAUUGCGCCCCUUGGUAUUCCAUGGGGCAUGCCUGUUCGAGCGUCAUCUACACCCUCAAGCUCUGCUUGGUGUUGGGCGUCUGUCCCCGCCUCCGCGCGCGGACUCGCCCCAAAUCCAUUGGCAGCGUCCCCUCGCCCCCCUCUCGCGCAGCACGAAUGCGCAUGACGAGGGAGCGGCUCCCGGGAUCGCGACCCACCCCCAAGAUGACCACCGUCUUUGACCUCGGAUCAGGUAGGGAUACCCGCUGAACUUAAGC